rnacentral:tmRNA from 1 species
GGGGCUGACUGGUUUUGACUACAAGUUUGAAGUUAACCGUAAGCAUGUCGAGCAUUGUUUGUUGGCUCGUAAAUAUCAAUGUACACACUUUUAAAUGGCGAGUAUAACUACGCUAUGGCUGCCUAAUUAUAGUAAUUAGGACGCCUUUGCUUCCGAAUGAAAGAGGGCUCGAAGCUUUCGUUCUUAUGAAGCAUCAUAAAAAGAUUGAGCUAGUUUUUUAGGGCUUCGACUAAAAAGCGAAACUAAAGAAGAUAAGGUUGGAGUAUGGUUGUGUUUUUUCCUUACCCUUCCCGACAAUUAAAAAGCAAUACACAUGUAGAAAGCGCUUAAGUUCCUUGUUUGGACGCGGGUUCGAUUCCCGCCAGCUCCACUA